UGCAUGUGGUUAAUUUUGAUUUGACACUUUUUCCUGGAAUCUUUAUCUUUAAUUGAGAACUGUUUCAGUUGUGACAUAAAAAUAUUGACUUUCCUCAUUAGUUAAAAAUGGUCUCUGGCUGGAGGGGAAAGGGUCUCUGAAUCAAAGGGAAGGUUUUUAAUGACUUAAUGGAAGAAGUGGGUAAAGGGAUUGGAAUUAACACUGUUCUGUGCUCUUAUGUUUAGUUUCUCUUUGAAUCUUCACAAACUGAGGAUAUACAUAACAUUCUCAUUCCAAAGUUGCUAAAAGUGUCAUAGAUGGUAACGAACUAAACUAGAAUCAGAAACCCAUGCUGUUUCUACUCUCUAUGCUGCCUUUCAUCCUGAUGUAAUAGAUAUCUAAGUCCUAAAAUGAUAGACUAGUAAAACUUUUAUAAUAAGUGGUACCUGGCUAGCUCAGCUGCUAGAGCACAUGACUCUUGAUCUUGUUGUAAUGAGUUUGAGCCCCACAUUGGGUGUAGAGAUUAGGAGUAAACUUAAGAAACAAAAAACUUUUGUAACAAAAAGGAUAGUUGAGGUAGAGAGUUUGGCAUAAUAAAUGAAGGAGUAAUAAAUGGAGUUUCAUCAUAUUGGUUAUUAAGUUAUAUGAAUUCUGUUAUGUUAUUUAGCAUAAUAGCAAUAACAUCCACCUGCCAUUCUACUAAAUGAGCUUUUGAAGUGAAGUAGGUAUGAGAUGGAGUAUGUGAAUAUGUUUUUCUCAGUUCAUACUUAUACAGGGCUUUGUACACACAGGGUCAUGUAUACUAUUUUUCUUGUAGUGGGGGGACUAAGAUUUUCAGGUUGGUUUUAGAUUAAAUGAGAUUUUUCACACUUUGAUAUGACUUUAGAACAGGCUUCCCCUCCCCCUUUCCCUGACUCCACUGUGUGAGAGUUGUGUGCUGUUGGAAUGGUGGUGUGGUAGUGAAGGGAACAGAGGACAGAAUGGAAUGUAGGACAGGAAAGUCAAUUUAGAGAACUCUGAUGAAUUGCAUUUGAAGAUAAAAUAGUGUCUGUUGAAUAAAUAAAUUAUAGUGUGUGUAGGGGUAUGAGAAACUAUGAUAGUGCAGGAGGUUCGGUGUGGUUGACCAUUCAGUGAGCACAUAAUAUAUAUGAGGGAGGCUUAGGAAAGAACACCUGGACCUCCACUCUACAGUAGCCAUUAGGUGCAUUUGACUAUUGAAUAUUUGAAACACAGCCCAUGUGAAUUGAGCUGUGAUAUAAGUAUAAAAUGCAUACUGGGCUCAAGGACUUGGUGGGUGGCGUACAGAGUAAAAAGAGAUGUUAACGACCAGCUUGCAUUGAUGGCUCACAUCUUUCUUUUGGACAGUUCUGAUGUAGAAAAUGGGAACAGAACACACAAAACUAGAAAUAGGAAAGAGUAUGAAGGGACAUAUUAAUGUUCAUAUGAAUUAAUGGACAUACUAAUAAUAAUGGACAAAUUUCUCAGAAACCAGAAAUCUUUAGUUUGUUUUUCUUUUUCUAGUUCCUUGAGGUGUAAACUUAAGAUUGCUUAUUUGAGAACUUUCUUUCAUUUUAAUGUAGGCAUUUAUUACUAUAAACUUUACUCUUAGUAAUGCUUUUGUUGUACCUCAUACGUUUUGGUAUGGUAUGCUUUCAUUUUUAUUUCUUUCCAGAUAUUUUCUGAUUUCCUUUUUGAUUUCUUCUUUGAACCAUUGGUUGUUUAGGAGUGUCUUACUUAGUUUUCACAUAUGAGUUAGCAAAAGGAAAGAAGUGAAAAAGAUAAGAGUAAAAUCAAAUGAAAUAGAGACUAAAUCUAGGGAAAAAAAAGAAACUAAGAAUUGGUGUUUUGUAAAGAUAAAAUUGACAAACUUUUAACUAGACUAACAGAGGAGACUCAAAUCAAAUUAGAAAUGAAAGAGGAGACAGAAACAAAAGGAUCAUCAAGAGACUAUAUAUAAGUAAUUAUAUGUCAACAAAUUGGAAAACCUAUAAGAAAUUUGUCAAAAUGUACAACCUCCCAACUCUGAGGCAUGAAGAAACAAAAUCUGAACAAACCAAAAAUGAGUAGGGUGAUUAAAUUAGUAAUCCCAUUAUUAACCCCUCCACAAAGAAAAGUCUAGGACCAGAUGACCUCAUAGGUGAAUUUUACCAAACAUUUAAAGAGACUGACACCAAACCUCAAACUCUUUCAAUCCAAAUUGUAUGAGGGCAGCAUUAAUCUGAUACCAAAGACAAACAAAGAACACUACAAGAAAACAAAACUAUGUUCAGUAUCCAUGAUGAACACAGAUCCAAAAAUCCUCAACGAAAUACUAAGAGACCCAAUUAAACAGCACAUUAAGAGAAUCCUAUACCAUGAUCAAGUGGGAUUUAUCCCUGGAAUGUAAGGAUGGUACAAUAUACUGAAAUCAGUCUUGAUGAUACACUGCAUUUUCAGAACAAAGGUUAAAAAUCACACAGUCAUCUCAACAGAUGGGUUAUUCUUAAGAAUAAGAUGGCUU